rnacentral:lncRNA from 1 species
CAAUGAUUAAGCAAAAUCAGUCUUUGGAAGUGGUUUAACUAGAGAUAAGAGUCAUUAAACAAAAGUAUUUAACAGUUGUCCUCAAUAACUAUUGCAGGAAUGAGUUAAUGAAAGACUCAUGUGUAUAAAACCCAAGUUGGAGGCUCUGUAAGUCUUGAGUAAUGGUAAUCACUAGUUUCAAACCAGUCUUGAAAUGACUUCCACCCUGGUAGCUGGCCUGGCUGAGGAAGGCUGCACUAGAGGGAAAAAGAGAGUGUGAAGGUGUAAUGGUGGACCAAGCCCAGAAGACUCCCGGUGCAGCUCACCAUGAACUUGCUGAGAGAAAUGAAGCCAUACCCAGCAAGUUCUGCCUACAUCUCAUUGGCCAGGAAAUAUGUCACAAGAUCACACUACAACCAUAAGGGAAACAAUAACUGUGAAACCAGACAAGCAGUGGCAGCCUCUGCUCCUACCUCUGGGGUCACCACCAGGGCCGGUGCUGUGGUUUAGCCUUUACCUGGAGACUCUUCUCACAGCCCACAGAGUUAUUGCAGAACAUGACCCUUCUCCUCAAGCUGUUACAUUUCCCUCCACUCAUUCCCAACAGAUGGCCUCUCCUCUUACUUUCGGGGGCAGACUCUGUCACCUUUAUUCUUCCCAAAUUAAAAAUAAAAAUACUGUAGUACAUCCAGCCAUGAAAUAUUAUUCAGUGCUGAAAAGGAAUGAGCUAUCAAGCCAUGAAAAGACAUGGAAGAAACUUAAAUUCAUAUUAUUGUGA